GUUCCUGUCCUUUUGCUUUGGGAAACUGAUUUCUAUGGCAUCCUCUUUUAAUUUGUGUCAAAAUACUAUUGUCCUGGAAGGGAAAAUACACAAGGAUUUUUGGGAAAGAUCUGGACUUGGACCAGGCAUCCCCUCAAAAGAACACAUUUUUAUUGAAGACUGUCUGUUUUCAGUUAUCUACUUUCAAAGACUGUCAUCUGUAAAGUAGGGCACCUGAAAGCCUAAUAAGUUAAAUUUGUUUUUCAAUUUAGGGUCUUGAUUUGUCCAAAGUACUGGGUAGAAAGAAGAGAUCUCCGCUUCUGAGUGGAGCAACUAGCGUGAGUAUUGAGAAAUCUUCAUACCCUAAGAUUUGUAUAUUUUCAAAUUUUAUAUAAGUUACUUUUUUUGUUAUUGUUUUACACA